rnacentral:rRNA from 1 species
CCUACGGGAGGCAGCAGUGGGGAAUAUUGCACAAUGGGGGAAACCCUGAUGCAGCGACGCCGCGUGAGUGAGGAAGUAUUUCGGUAUGUAAAGCUCUAUCAGCAGGGAAGAAAAUGACGGUACCUGACUAAGAAGCCCCGGCUAACUACGUGCCAGCAGCCGCGGUAAUACGUAGGGGGCAAGCGUUAUCCGGAUUUACUGGGUGUAAAGGGAGCGUAGACGGCUAGUCAAGUCAGAAGUGAAAGCCCAGGGCUCAACCUUGGGACUGCUUUUGAAACUGUUGGUCUUGAGUAUCGGAGAGGCAGGCGGAAUUCCUAGUGUAGCGGUGAAAUGCGUAGAUAUUAGGAGGAACACCAGUGGCGAAGGCGGCCUGCUGGACGACAACUGACGGUGAGGCGCGAAAGCGUGGGGAGCAAACAGGAUUAGAUACCCCAGUAGUC